rnacentral:rRNA from 1 species
GAUGAACGCUAGCUACAGGCUUAACACAUGCAAGUCGAGGGGCAGCAUGAACUUAGCUUGCUAAGUUUGAUGGCGACCGGCGCACGGGUGAGUAACACGUAUCCAACCUGCCGAUGACUCGGGGAUAGCCUUUCGAAAGAAAGAUUAAUACCCGAUGGCAUAGUUCUUCCGCAUGGUAGAACUAUUAAAGAAUUUCGGUCAUCGAUGGGGAUGCGUUCCAUUAGGUUGUUGGCGGGGUAACGGCCCACCAAGCCUUCGAUGGAUAGGGGUUCUGAGAGGAAGGUCCCCCACAUUGGAACUGAGACACGGUCCAAACUCCUACGGGAGGCAGCAGUGAGGAAUAUUGAUCAAUGGACGAGAGUCUGAACCAGCCAAGUAGCGUGAAGGAUGACUGCCCUAUGGGUUGUAAACUUCUUUUAUACGGGAAUAAAGUGAGGCACGUGUGCCUUUUUGUAUGUACCGUAUGAAUAAGGAUCGGCUAACUCCGUG